rnacentral:rRNA from 1 species
CCCUUAGACGUUCUGGGCCGCACGCGCGCUACACUGAUCAGUGCAACAAGCAUCCGUCCUUGGCCGACAGGCCCGGGCAAUCUUUGAACGCUGGUCGUGAUGGGGAUAGACUUUUGCAAUUUUUGGUCUUCAACGAGGAAUUCCUAGUAAACGCAAGUCAUCAACUUGCAUUGAUUACGUCCCUGCCCUUUGUACACACCGCCCGUCGCACCUACCGAUUGAAUGGUCCGGUGAAGCCUCCGGAUUGGCGCGCACCUCGGUGCCGCCGAGAAGUUGGCUAAACCUUACCAUUUAGAGGAAGGUGAAGUCGUAACA